rnacentral:rRNA from 1 species
AGAGUUUGAUCAUGGCUCAGGACGAACGCUGGCGGCGUGCUUAACACAUGCAAGUGGAGCGACGAACCGGGGCUUGCCCCGGGGCAGAGCCGCGAACGGGUGAGUAACACGUGGGUAACCCACCCCGAUGACCGGGACAACCCGAGGAAACUCGGGCUAAUACCGGAUGUGCUCGCAUCUCAUGAGGGAUGUGAACAAAGGUAGCUUCGGCCUCCGCAUCGGGACGGGCCCGCGGCCCAUUAGCUUGUUGGUGGGGUAACGGCCUACCAAGGCGACGAUGGGUAGCUGGUCUGAGAGGACGAUCAGCCACACUGGGACUGAGACACGGCCCAGACUCCUACGGGAGGCAGCAGUGGGGAAUCUUGCGCAAUGCGCGAAAGCGUGACGCAGCAACGCCGCGUGGGGGAAGACGGCCUUCGGGUUGUAAACCCCUUUCAGUUGGGACGAAGCUUCGCCGGUGAAUAGCCGGCUGGAGUGACGGUACCUUCACAAGAAGCCCGGCUAACUACGUGCCAGCAGCCGCGGUA